UUUGACCCGAUUGGCGAUUUGGGCAUACCCAUCACCGCGAGAAUCGGGAGCCGUGGGAGUACGGGCCACCGUCGUCGCCUCGCCUCCAUUUGUUGCUCUGGGCAGUCAGUUGGUCGUCGCGGAAGCUUGGGUAUGCGUCAUUGGAGCGUCGGGGCACUACAGCCACGACAAUUGCUUGCCAGAGUCUUUGCUUUGACCUCGAUCCGCUGUGCGUCGCGGGUAGCUUCGUUCGGUGUCCAUCUCCGGUGAGUAAACCCUAUGUCAUGUUCACUUGUUCCUUGUGAUUGCGUAGCACCCAGUAGACUCGAGUUUAGUGCGCUGAGUCCGGGAGUCCGGCGAUGGCGCGCCGCCGCAGCCUCACUGUUGGCUGCCGGGGUUCAACCGGGAGGAGGAAGACGUGGCCUGACCGUCGAUCCCCAGUCGAACGGUCUCGAUUAGAUAGGAAUACCCCUUCUGGAUUGUGACAUGCGGACCGUUGGGAUUGAAUCCGAGGGUCGGGCACAGAUCGCACCUCAUAAAAUACUAACCGUAGAUUUCAGGCUCUACAUCAUGUACCAGUUCAGGGAAGCCUAGAUCUAAUCUGAGCCAAUAGCAUUUAAUAGGACUACCAAGACUUGAUCGUACCCUUCCGACCAACCCGAUUUGCAUAAGAGCCCCUCUGGUAUCCUAAAAACAACUCGUGUCCACACUCUGCAUAAAUUAAUAACAGACAAACCCUAGAAUAUUGUAAACUAGCCCCUGAACUCACUAAUAUUCAUGCGCACAGUACAGAGAGUUAGAAAAAUCAGAGAAAUUAAUAUAGAAAAUGAUUUUUAUUGUAAAAAUAUUUCCAUAAUCUUGUUUAAUUCCUAGAAAAUUCAUUUUAACUCCUUUUUAAUCCAUUCCAGUUGCAAUAAUUUUGUUUUAAUAUUGUCUCAGUUAAUAACAUUGUUUUAUCAUGAAACAUAGAUUAAAAUUUAUCACUUAGUCUAUUCUGUACCAAACACAUAAAACCUUUGGAAAAUCAUAACUUGUUAUCCGUAACUUCGAAUUUAGUUAUUCUCGAACCUAUGAUCUCGUUGCAAUGCGUAGAUUAUUAUUAUGCAUUUUGUUCUCAUGUUUGGCGUGAUGUUAAUUUCUUCUAUACCAUGUCUGUUUGUAUUGCUUCGAGUAGACGAACCAGUGACCGAGGACAUAGGUGUUCAGCAGGUGGAAAUUGCUGAGCAGGAGCUCGUUGAAGGCAAGUUGUGGCCUUGAUCACUUUUAUUUACCAAAUAAUGUUCUCUAUAAUCAUUUUGGCAUGCAUAGGCUUAAUUUUGAUGGGACCCAAUAGGUCACCCUAGUUUGGUCAUCUUUACACCUUUUACCCAUGAACUUUUGGGUAGCCUUUGCUAUUGCUAUAUGUGGUUUUGGGUGUUGAGAUAACUAUUACACAUGGUUAUUCUUUAUUAUUAUUGUUUUAUUAUGUUAAUGAUAAGGCUAUUAUGUUAAUUAGAACAUGGAGCUUAACUUAAGAAACACAUGCCACCACAAGGGUGGAAUGGGACGCCCUUGACUAACUAAUUAGGAAAGCCAGUGGAGGUCUACCUUACCCGAAAGGGGCAAGAGCAGUAGGGGAGUGGUCGGUGUAGGGAGGUUCUCGGGUUGAUUUUGCUGCGAUGGCGGUCAGACGGGGGAUCCCUGCAUUGCGCUCCCUAGAAAUUGUAGCGGGUUUUCUGAAGCUAGUGGAACUUUGUAAAGGCCUCGUAGUGUUACCCUGCUUCGUCUCCUCGGUAGAGAUGAAUGCGACUUCUAGACCCCUUGGCAACCGGGUGACAUGACUUGUGGGUAAAGGGUACAACCUCUGCAGAGUGUAAAACUGGUAUACUAACCGUGCUCGUGGUCAUGAGCAGCUCAGGACUCUCGCAUUAUUAAUUUAUGGAAUUAAAUUUAAUUUGUCAUAUGCAUCGCAUUUUGUGGUUUAUUAUUAAUUUUGAUCUAUUAUUACUCUAGUUUGGUAUCUACUUAUUAAAAGUAUUGCUCAGCUUUAAUCAUUAUUUGUUGAUCAGCCUUACACUUCACAUGAACUCCUAUCUUUGGUGAGUUCAUGCACAUUAUUCACCAUAACUUGUUGAACUAUGAUAUUUUGUGAGCUCACUGUUGCGAUAUAUAAACCCCACACAGGAGAAGAACAGGUGUCCAGGAGGAGCCUUACAACGAGGAGUACGAGCUUAUCUAGGUGGCGUCUCCCAGUCAGCUUUAUGGUGCCAAGGAAUAAUACUUAGUUCGCUUUAUUGUUCUUAUUUAUUUUUGUAAGACUUCCGAUAUAUAAUAAUAAUAUUAGUGACGUUUAUCUCUAUACACUUUGUCAUUAUAUGUGGUAUUCUUUUUUAGCGCACAUAUGAGAUGUACCCGGGUUUACCC
rnacentral:lncRNA from 1 species